UACGGAGGGCGCAAGCGUUAUCCGGAUUUACUGGGUUUAAAGGGUGCGUAGGCGGGCCUUUAAGUCAGUGGUGAAAUCUCCCCGCUCAACGGGGAAACUGCCAUUGAUACUAUUGGUCUUGAAUUUAGUUGAGGUGGGCGGAAUGUGUCGUGUAGCGGUGAAAUGCUUAGAUAUGACACAGAACACCGAUUGCGAAGGCAGCUCGCUAAACUAAUAUUGACGCUGAGGCACGAAAGCGUGGGGAUCAAACAGG
rnacentral:rRNA from 1 species